rnacentral:rRNA from 1 species
CACGUAGGGGGCGAGCGUUGUCCGGAUUUAUUGGGCGUAAAGAGCUCGUAGGCGGUUUCGUUAGUCGGGUGUGAAAACCCCAGGCUCAACCUGGGGACGCCACCCGAUACUGCGAUGACUAGAGUCCGGUAGGGGAGUGUGGAAUUCCUGGUGUAGCGGUGAAAUGCGCAGAUAUCAGGAGGAACACCAAUGGCGAAGGCAGCUCGCUGGGACGGUACUGACGCUGAGGCGCGAAAGCGUGGGGAGCAAAAGGG